CAGAGUCACUACUGUUCUGUAGACGCAAGUCACUUAAAUGUUCAUAUAUGUCUUGUCAAUAUGAUACAGUUGGGACCAUCAGCAAAGGCAGAGGAUCAGAGCUGAGAUCAACUUACCUGGAGGAAAGCCUGCUGGAGCCAUAAACCUACAAGGACACUUUAAUGAUAUGGAAGUGGAGAUUUAUUGCUACAGAAGAUAAAAAGAGAGGAGAGGAGGAAGAAGAUAAAAUAAUUAAAAUAGUAAUUAAAGGUAAGAGAGAAAAUUGUUCAAUUGACCAUACUGGGAGCGAUCAAAGAAGUCCUCUGACACAAGACUGAGGAAUAAAAUGCCACGAAACCAGCUUCAGGAACUAACCAAAACUGAGAGAAGUCACAGGUCCCACAGGCCCCUGAAUCCUGAAUGAUAAACAACCAAAGCCAAAAUGAUGCCAGUGGAUAACCCAGCAGAUGCCAGCUGAGCCACAAGACAUCAAAGACAAGAAACCACUUCCACUUCUUUCUGAGUCUUGUACGCUUUGGCUAUCUCCCCACUACCAGGAUAGAUUCAGUCCUUUGAGUGAAAAAAAUGUGAAUUUCCAUGGGUUAAAAUUCAUGUAGACAUUUAGUUGUAGAGCCACAGACUGAGUUUUAUUUCACUUUAUGUGCGCAUCUAGUUAAAACUUCACUGGAUAUUCUGUUUACAAAACGAAAACUGAGGUGUCUAUGUUUUGUCCCUGCGAUCGUCUAUAUUCAGACUUCAUGUUCUUUUAAUUCUUCUUUUGUUUAAGCUAUCUUUUAUCACUUUCCAAGGCAAGGGGUAUUUAAAGAAGUGUUUAAAUAUAUCUUGGAACCAUUCUUAGCUGUUCAGCUGUUCUGAUUGCUAAUGUGAUUUCUUGCUCUGUUUAAACAACAGCUGUGGACCUACAGCCCUGUAUUCUCCUUUCGUAUUUUAAUGCUUUAAGCUGCAUCCUAGGAAAAUGGCCCUGCGGCUAUUGCUACGUUAUGGUACUGAUACACACAAUGGAAACGUGAAGGUGUGAAAUGAAGUUAAUUUGGUGUCAGUGUUCCUAUAUGUGUAAAUACUGAAACUGACAAUGAAACAGCCUCACAGAGAUGUGCCCGGACUUGUAAGAACAGAUCCCUCAAACACAUUAAUAAAUAAAUCGACAAGCAUUGAGUGUCACAUAGCAUAGGUGCUUGAAGCUAAUAAAUGAAGAAAAUGGCCCUUGUUUAUUUCUAGGCAUCUAUGAUCAUGGUAAGUUUUUGUAGGAGGUAUUUUGUUAUAUAAAAUCAGUAAUUCACUUAAUGUCCCGUUUGGUUUUGUCAUCCUUUUUGCUCCUUUUGGCUUAACAUUUGCAUUCAGAAGAAGAUAUUGAAAAUUAAAUAUUCAAGGUAUUGGCAUUUUAUUAUGGAAUUUCUAGGCAUUAAUACGUUUGUCUCUCCUAGAAUUACUGACAUUUAGAGUGCAUCCGGCCAUUGGUGAUAGGUGGCGAUAAUUUUUGCCAUCUUGCCGUUUGACUGGCUUCUGUGGAUGUUACAACAAGGUGUGGGAGGAGCCUGGAGGCCGAAGGGACCCACUGCAGAGCCUCUUCCUGGUGGUUCGGAUGAGAGCACCAUUCUCGCGUCUUGCCAGAACCACAGUAAUUUUUGACGGGAAAGAGAAUUUGUGACUUUAAUGCAAUCUUAAAACCAUAUCACUGUUUCCACUUCAAAUUUGGAGAUCAUAUGUGGGUUUCAACUUAACUAACAUGGAAAACUAUCUACGGAAAGAGUAAAAUGCACUGCUAGAACGACAGUAUUAUUGUUGACAGUUUAGUAAAUGCCAGGCCCUUGGCAAGAUUACCAAAAAUAUGCCUUCCCUAAUAUUCUGGAUAAACAAGGAGGGGAGUGCGUGUGGAUUCAAGGAGGGUAGGUAUUCUGAGAGGUGGAAAGGGAAAGAGUGGGAUCGUGAUGUGGGGAAUGGUCCAUUGUAACCCCAAGUCAUAUCACCUGGGAGAUUGAGCAGCAGGUCCAAGCCUGUGAUGCUGGAGCUGAUGCUCUAACUUCCCACCUGGUCUCUAGAAAGGGAGAGAAGAUGAAGGGGCUGGUGGAGGCUGGCAUUAUCCUUCCCAUUUACGGAUGAGAAAUUAAAACUAUGAAAAUUAAGUAACUUGCUCAGGGUUAAGUAAAGAGCAGAGCAAGAAUUUAAUCUAUUUACAAUGUAGAUUUUUCCUAUCAUACCAAGCCACCUCCUAAGAAUUAACUUUGCAUGUAUUAUUUGGCUAACGAUUUCUAUUUUAAGUCCUCAGGAUUAUGGAACCAAUAAAUCAAUGUCAUUAAUAGGCAACUCACUGGCACUCACUUCUAAAAGUAACAGAGGGUAAGAAUUUAUAAUCUGACAAAAUAGAUAACAAGCGUCCAAAGAAUCAGGAUUACUGAAACCAUCAAAACUGCACUAGAGAAUUAGAGCUAGCACUGAUGAUAAAAUCAAUAAAUGGAAAAAUGUGGUAGGAAAAGGCUGACCUUUCACAAGGAAGCAAUGAAAUAUUAGUAUUCCAUCUGGUUUCCAGAAGAACUAGAGGAUAAUAGACUUGAAUUUAUUAAAACCUCCUACAAGAUUCUUUAAAUUGUGCUUAGGGAAAAGCAAAGCUGUGUAUGUAUUAUGCCUGUUUGUGAUUCAGGAAAUAUCCCACAAUUGUGUAUGAGUGCACGUGUAUAAAUGUGUGGACGAGGAAACACGAAUAAAGCACCAAAACCUUUAUUGCAGGAAGAAGGUGUUUAUUCCAUCUUCUUGCCUAUACCCAAAGAGUUGGGUAACAAUUUCAUGAAGUCAGGAAACUAUAUCAAUUGACAAUUCAUUUCAACCAAUGUAGAGUCUUAUUUCAGUGUGAACUUUCAUUUCUUUGCUCAAAUCUUUGCCUGCUCCCUCCCUCUGUCAUGUAUCCAUCUAAAAACUAUGGAGCAUCAAAUCCAUUAAAUUUAAACAUAUGUGAAGGAGUCAUGGAAGUCAGAUGUCAGAGACAAUUGCUCUGUUAUGGAGCGAUAGAGUAUUGAAAGAGGGGAAAGGGAGUUUGGAGAGGAGAAGCAGAUUAAGUAUAGUAAGAGAACACUAAAAGUUAGAAGCUUGACACACUUUUAUACAGCUGGAAUCAGAGAAAGUUAAUAUCUUCAUUUUACAAGAUACUUUUUAUUGAUAGCAUGUUUUCUAAGGAUAAGAUUUGGAUAAAAUAUGUUUAAUUGAUACUAAAGACGGCUGCUGCUGCUGCUAAGUCACUUCAGUCAUGUCUGAUUCGCAAUCCAAGGUUAAUGGGCCCCAAAACUCAUACCUCAAUAAUCUGGAUGGCCAACUUCAAGAGGGAAAAAGCACCGUAAAGUUAGAAAUUAAAGCACAGGUAUGAGGACUUGGAAGGAACUUGUCCAAGUGGGGUCUUGACGUUCAAAUACAUUAACUUCUAAUGCAGACACAUAUACAAAUAUUUGAGGUUAUGUUUCAUUCUGAAAAGAACCUCGAAAAAAUUUCAAUAGUGGACUUAGCAGUAAAGGUCACAGAAACCACCAAUUUCUCCAAGUAAAUGGCUUUUUACCUAUUUUUGUCUGCAAUCCAUGUUCCUCCAGGACACCUAACACUCAGCUUUAAUAAACUGAAGUCACUGCUGCCCUGCAGACCUGAGUAGAAUCUCCACUUUGUCACUGUGGAUGAUGCCACCAACAGAAUAAUGAUUCGACAUUUCUGGUUUUUCCCAGGAUUAAAAUACCAUGUAGAAAGCACACCUGUGUUGCCAAUGAUACAUUACAUAAUUUACUGGUAUUUGCAAGAUGGUUUACAUGGUAUAAUUUCAUUUAAUGAAAAUGUGUCUCUCUGAUUUGAAGUUGUAGUUAAGCUGUAUUUCAUUCUCCAUGUCUUUUCGGAACAUUGCCCUAUCUUUAGUUCUCAAUUCUUACUCUAUUAUUUUGGGGUUUUCCAAGUUUUCUUCAGUUAGCAGG
ensembl:lincRNA